rnacentral:lncRNA from 1 species
UCCCCCUCAGCUCUAGGACAAGGUGCUGGAAAGUCUUUUUCCCUUGAGAGCAGGCAUGUUUUAUGGAGAAAGCUCUGAGUGUAUUUCAUAAGAAUUAUUCUUCUUUUUGCCCUGCUGUGGCCAAGAGGACAUUUUUCUGGGAUCCUCACUGUGAAAACUUACUGGGGUGCCUGGAGGUAAGUCCAUGAAUGUGUGGCGUCCCCCCUAAGACUGCGGACCUCAAGAGUUUCUCACUGUCAUUCUAGUUCAUACUCAGCAGUUUGUCAAAAUUACCAUUUAAAAUGUUAUCACCAAUUUAUGAGUCCAGUGACUUCUGUUCCAGUUUAGCAUAGCUUGGCUCUUUCUGAAUUUGUCUGUCUUUCCAGAUUCCUAACAGAAGUUUGUCCUGAAACUCAGUUGUUUGGUGGGUCCAUUCAAUUAGUCCAGAUUUUUCUGAUUUUAUAUGUGGAACUGACAACUUUUAAGCUCUUUACAUUUCCUGGCUGUGAUCUGAAGUCCCUACAGACUUUUGCUGAAGUUGUAGUGGUAGAAGACUAGCCACACAGAGUCUAAGCUAGUAUACCAGAUAUUUUAGCCUGUUUACAAUUUAAUUUGUUCAAAUUAAAGCACUAAGAGUGGUCUCUUUUUACUUUAUCCAAGUGGACUCCAAUCAAGUGGAAACUAAAUGUUACAGCUUUCCCACUACAUACUAUAUGUGACUAUAUUAAUUCUAUGUAAGAAAGCUUGAAGGUUUUUAAAAAUUAGGCUGAAUAUAGAUAUUAAGACAUUAACAGCAUCCAGGCAUUUAAAAACUUGGAAUUGAAGGAAAAAAAGUAGCUGGCACUUAUUUAAAUUUUUGUGAAAAUCAAUCACACUCUUAAAUUCAACCUAGCAUUUCAAACAAAUGUCAAGCUAUUUUAAUUUAACCAAGCUGCUUCACCUUACUUACAAACAAGAUUUAUAGGCUUCAAGAAAUUUAGUGAAUAAUCUGGUAAGCAAAAAGAGAAUAUAUUUGUUUAUAGGCCCGGGACCAACAAUGAGCAUGUCCCAAACAUCAUAACCAAAACACAAGCAACACUAAUUGUUGUACUAAAAAAUAUGUUGCCUCAACAUCAUACUGUAUGAUUUAUUUUGUCCAUUAUAUUAAAAAUGAUAUCUUCAUCAUGUAAUGUGAUUUUACAUGGAUUUGAGCCUAUUUUGGGGCUGUCAUUAACCUGAGUGUCUAUUUGCACAACAAUUGUUUUUAUAAUUCCUUAUUUUAUGCAGCAAAAAUUUUACUUUAUUUCUCAUUUGUUUUCAAAACAUUUUCUGGCCAUUUUUUUAUAAAUUUUUUAAAGUAAAUUUUAGAGUUGGUCUUUCAAGUUCAAAAUAAAAAUUAUACUGGGAGUAUAUUUAAUUGUGGAUUAAUUAAAGGAGAAUUGCUAUUUUUAUAAUAUUGGAAUUUUCCAUCUUAAAGAAGUAUAUAUCUCUUGACUCAAAUAUUUUUUUUUAGGUUCUUCAGUGUAUAGGUUGUGCCUCUGUUUAUCAUGUUAGUUCUUUACCUGUUUUUUGUUUGGACACAAUUUCUUCUUUCAUUGAGUAAAUACUUUCUUUAAAAUGCAGGGCAACUGAAUUUUAUUUAUUUUGUGGCAAUGUUCAAAGAUAUCUUCAAAAGUGGUACAUUUAUAACCAUUGUUAAAAUACAAAUUCCUUAUAUCUUUUUCCUGUUAGUAGAAAGCUAUAUUGGUUUAACUUCCAUUUGUUCUAUAAUAGAGUCUAUAUAACAGUUCUGUUUUGUCUUUAUUGACACAUUUUGACCCCUUUCUCCUCCUCUACUUCCUCCUACUUCUCCUUGUGUUUGAAAUCCAUCAAUAGUAGGCUGUCAAUCUUGUUCCACUUGUUUUUUUGCUCCAUGAAGAUCUCUUAAUCCUCAUUUCUCAUAUUCUUUCUCCUGUGGACAUCAGACAAAACCUUUCUAAAUAUUGCCUAUGUACUUUUCUAAAAGAUUUAUUCAUUUCCUUCUGUGCUCUUUCUGAUGGUAUUUUUCUUUCAUAGGCACACAGUGGAUUUUCUUGGGAGUCAGAAAUGAUUUCAAAUAUUAGACCAAUUCCCAAAGCGCUUAAACUUGAGCAAAUUUCCUAAUCCUACUUGUGAUGAUUUUUCUACUUUUUCUUUUCCAUGUUUAUAUGGUAGUUUGUAUGGUCAUUACUUUAAAAUAAUUACAUAUAAUUUUUACCUGUCUCAUUUUUAUGAAAAACAAACGAGGCACCAAUAUUUUGUUCAGGAAUUAAAAAACCAUAGCUUUAUGAAAAAACACUUUCAAUCUCUUUUAUGUAUUCUAAUAUCCAAGAAAAUAAAAUCUUUGCAUUCUGUUCAUUCACAAGGUUAACUAACAAUUCAUUAAUUUUGUUGUUGUUGUUUAAAUUCUAAAGUGUGACUUUCUUUGGGAGAACUAAAGAUGACAAUGAUUGUCAAACUUGUGGUAUAGGAUAAGGUUGUGACAUUAAAUCACACAAUAAUAUGAAUUCAGUUAUCAGUAAUAUUUUAGAACCAUUAUAAUAAAUUUCAAAAUAAAUUUAUUUCCAAAGAUGAUGGUAUAGUCAAAUAAUUGAGUCAAAGAACUGAUGGUUCAUUAAUUCUAGAAGCGUAUUGUGAAAAUAAAUAUUUUGUGUAUUGAAUUGAAAUAUUCUUUUCAUCAGACAAUAUAUUUUUACAUGGACUUGAUUCUAUUCCUGAGCCGUUAUUAAUCUGUCAACUAGCACAACAGUUGUUUUCACAAUCUAUUAAUUUUGUGCCUACUUUAUAUCCCCCUUUGCUUACCUGAUAUGAGUGCAACAGUGGUGGUUCUGACACCACUGCCCUGCCACAAGCAACAGUCUGCAGCCUCAUUCUGCAUUUUUUUUUCCUGAAGCCAAGGAGAGCCAUCUAAACAACAGAGAGAAACAGCCUAAAAUCUUGGAAAAUUAAGUCCCCUGGAGGUAACAGUCAAUCACAUAGGAUGAGAGUUAGUGGAUACAUUACUUCUUACUAUAUGGGAGAAAAUACUGAGGUGCAUCCUUACUGGAUCCUUAGAAUGCCCCCCACAUGAAUGGGCCCUGGUGUUCCCACAGCAGUGGCAGCUCAGUAAUGCCUGAAUCAUCGCCCUUUCCCUCUUGCUGUCUCACUCUCCUCAGUCUCUCCUCUAGUUCCUGAAAUUACCUUCCAAAUAAUGUACUUGAAACCAUACUAUUGUUUCAGGCUCUGCUUUUGGGUGCAAACAAGGCUAAAAUGUAUUUAGUGAGAGUGGCCUAAGAAAGCAGUCCCUCAGGAUGCUUUGAUUUUCUGAUUCCUGCAGCAUGUUUUAUUCUUUCUUUAUUUUUUGAUUCACAAUAUUAUAUUAGUUUUAGGUAUAUGAUAUAGUGAUUCAAAAUGUUUAUAGACUGUACUCCAUUUAUAGUUAUAAAAGUUAUAAAAUACUGGCUGUAUUACCUGUUCUGCAUAACAUAUCCUUAUUUAUGUUAUAUAUAGUAGUUUUUACUUUUUAAUCCUCUACUUCUAUCUUGCCCCUCCUUCCUUUCCUUUCCUCACUGGCAACCAGUAGUUUGUUCUCUAUAUGUUUGAGUCUGUUUCUUUUCUGUUAUACUUAUUAGUUUUAUUUUUUUAGAUUCCACAUGUUAGUGAUAUAUUAUUUGUAUUUGAUAUUUCAUUGAGCAUAAUACCCUCCAGAUCCAUAUGUGUUAUUGAAAAUGGCAAAAUUUCAUUCUUUUUAUGGCUGAGUAAUAUUCCAUUAUAUAGAUAUAUAGAUAUAGAUGUACAUAAAUAUGUAAAUAAAUUUCUGUGAACAUUGGGGUGCAUGUGUCUUUUUGAAUUAGUAUUUCAUUUUCUUCAGAUAAAUACCCAGAUGAAAUUUCUGGGUCAUAUGAUAGCUCUAUUUUUAGUUUUUUUUGGAGCCUCCAUUCUGUUUUCCACACUGGCUAUAUCAACCUACAUCCACACUAACAAUGUAGAAGGGCUCUCUAAGUUCAAUAGAAUAACAGAAUUUUAAGUCAUCAGAUCCAGGUAAUGGCACUUACCUGUCAGGGGUGUAUUUGACAUAAUUACUGUCACAAUCAGCAAAAUUGAAUUGGCAAUGAGUGUGGCCUCUAGUGGUUUAUGGUGAUUGAUGUCUAGUAGACCGUGCUUGGUAUUCCUGCAGAUCAUGUAGAUGAGCAUGUAAGAUAUUCCUUACCUGU